GCAUUCAUACUUGGGGAAACAGGGAUUUCACAGACCCAGGCUUGUUCCCUACAUAAUGUUUCCUCCUCCGACAUCAGUUCAUCAGUCAAUCAAGUCAUGUGAGAGUGGAGGCCUUGUAUUCCCUAUUAUUCUUGGGCACUCUCCUCCAAGGAGGGAAAGGCCAGGAGGUCCUUUUAGAGGAUGCACUCUGAGAGCCCGGGCUCCCUAAGGUAUGAGAGUUCUAACCAGCAGGUUAGACUUUUCAGGAGUGAGGAAUGAGGCAGGCAUUCCAAACCGGUACCUUCAUUACCUUUUGUUUCAUCUCAAGACAAUUCUGAGGGGCUGUUUUGGAGCGUGUCUGGAAGGUGAACGUUGAAGAAGAGUGUGGGCUUUGAUAUGACUCAGUUGAGAUCUUUCAUGGGGAGGCAGGAAUUCAAUGCCCAGAAUCUGGGCUGGUGUCUUUGAGGUCAGUAGGUUGCAUCUUUUUAUCCAAGUCCGUUGUUACUAGGUUGGAGGCUGGAGAUUCUAAAUGGCUUCCAGACUGCCUCUCUGAUUCUCUUUGGGAGAUGUGGUCUGAAAGACAAUGUCAGUAUUUUUGGGAAAUUCUAGAAAGUCUGCUUGGAAACGUGGGAAGAGCUCUUGCCUAGUGCCUAAAUGCUCCAUUUGCAGCUCUAGCCAAGUAGAUACUUGGUA
rnacentral:lncRNA from 1 species